rnacentral:misc_RNA from 1 species
GAUGAAGAACGCAGCGAAAUGCGAUAAGUAAUGUGAAUUGCAGAAUUCAGUGAAUCAUCGAAUCUUUGAACGCACAUUGCGCCCGCCAGUAUUCUGGCGGGCAUGCCUGUUCGAGCGUCAUUUCAACCAUCAAGCCCCCGGCUUGUGUUGGGGACCUGCGGCUGCCACAGGCCCUGAAAAGCAGUGGCGGGCUCGCUAGUCACUCCGAGCGUAGUAGUUACAUCUCGCUCAGGGCGUGCUGCGGGUUCCGGCCGUUAAAAGCCUUAUUUACCCAAGGUUGACCUCGGAUCAGGUAGGAAGACCCGCUGAACUUAAGCAUAUCAAUAAGCGGAGGA